GACGAACGCUGGCGGCGUGCUUAACACAUGCAAGUCGAGCGGUAAGGCCCUUUCGGGGGUACGACGAGCGGCGAACGGGUGAGUAACACGUGGGUGACCUGCCCUCAGCUCUGGGAUAAGCCUGGGAAACCGGGUCUAAUACCGGAUAUGACUCCAUGACGCAUGUUGUGGGGUGGAAAGCCUUGUGCGGCUGAGGAUGGGCCCGCGGCCUAUCAGCUUGUUGGUGGGGUGAUGGCCUACCAAGGCGACGACGGGUAGCCGGCCUGAGAGGGCGACCGGCCACACUGGGACUGAGACACGGCCCAGACUCCUACGGGAGGCAGCAGUGGGGAAUCUUGCGCAAUGGGCGAAAGCCUGACGCAGCGACGCCGCGUGAGGGAU
rnacentral:rRNA from 1 species